AUUGAACGCUGGCGGCAUGCCUUACACAUGCAAGUCGAACGGCAGCACGGGUGCUUGCACUUGGUGGCGAGUGGCGAACGGGUGAGUAAUGUAUCGGAACGUACCAUUCAGUGGGGGAUAACUAUCCGAAAGGAUAGCUAAUACCGCAUAUUCUGUGAGCAGGAAAGCAGGGGAUCGCAAGACCUUGCGCUGAUUGAGCGGCCGAUAUCAGAUUAGCUAGUUGGUGGGGUAAAGGCCUACCAAGGCUACGAUCUGUAGCGGGUCUGAGAGGAUGAUCCGCCACACUGGAACUGAGACACGGUCCAGACUCCUACGGGAGGCAGCAGUGGGGAAUUUUGGACAAUGGGGGCAACCCUGAUCCAGCCAUGCCGCGUGAGUGAAGAAGGCCUUCGGGUUGUAAAGCUCUUUCGGCCGGGUACGAAAGUCACAUGGGCUAAUACCCUGUGCGGAUGACGGUACCGGAAUAAGAAG
rnacentral:rRNA from 1 species